rnacentral:rRNA from 1 species
UCUUAGCAACCGAUUUGGUCCUAGUCCUCUCUUUUAUUUUUACUAAAACGAUACAUGCGAGCAAUUAGCCCUACAGUGAGUAAGCCCUUACCCCACUCUACAAAGAAAGCGGGACUCUCCUAAUAACAUCAGGCUCAACAUUCCUGCCCUUAACGUUUAGAUACCCACGUCUGCAGUACCUAACAUUAUACAAUAAGUAAAAACUUGAUAUAGCUAUAGUAAAAUAGGUCUGGUUAAUUAUGUGCCAGCCACCGCGGUUAUACAUAAAGCCCAAAUUAAAGAGAUCACGGUAAAAAAGUGGCCCACCCUAUAUAGAAUAAACAACAACUCUAGCAGUAAUAAGCUUACACAGAAAAUUUAUCACACUCAUUAACUUAAUUCUAUUAUGACACUUUCGCCACGAAAGCUCAAAAAUAAACUGGGAUUAGAUACCCCACUAUAUGAGCCGUAAAAAACAAAAUACCCCCGAGAA